rnacentral:rRNA from 1 species
GUAGGUGGCAAGCGUUGUCCGGAAUAUUGGGCGUAAAGCGCGCGCAGGGCGGUCCUUUAAGUCUGAUGUGAAAGCCCACGGCUCAACCGUGGAGGGUCAUUGGAAACUGGGGGACUUGAGUACAGAAGAGGAAAGCGGAAUUCCAAGUGUAGCGGUGAAAUGCGUAGAGAUUUGGAGGAACACCAGUGGCGAAGGCGGCUUUCUGGUCUGUAACUGACGCUGAGGCGCGAAAGCGUGGGGAGCAAACAGGAUUAGAUACCCUGGUAGUCCACGCCGUAAACGAUGAGUGCUAAGUGUUACGGGGGUUUCCGCCCCUUAGUGCUGCAGCUAACGCAUUAAGCACUCCGCCUGGGGAGUACGGCCGCAAGGCUG